GGAUACAGUUCGUCGACGUCGAUCUCCUCUGCUUCCAGUUCAGUGUAGGAGUGCUCGAAACCGGGGUCCUCCCCCAACACAUCCAAGUCCACCCCUCCCCCUGUUACUUCAGGCGAUGCUGCUUGCCAAGGCCCCCUUCGCCACCCCACUUCUGGUUGAUCGUCCCACCAAUAAGAGCGGUCCGUGUCCACCCCCGAGCACGAUCCCCUUGGAGGGCUCGAUUCCGGCGUGGUCUCCUCUGCGGAGGAGAACCACCGAAAGGUGCUGUCUGAAAGCGUAGGCGUAAAAAGCCAGUCGUCAAAAUACUCCGUUGGCAUGGGCCUGUGUGGGAAGAGUGCAUGGAACUCGUCUUUAAGAAGAGGUUCCUCCAAAGCAUAAUCUGGCACCCAACUGUCGGCGCUGGCCGUGGUACCUUCCCUGGCGAGGAGGUAUUCUACUCCCUCCUCCCCCCAUCUCGAGUCCAGAAUUUCCGUGGCCUCGUUGAGUGUCGGGGCCCUCGGUGACUUCCCCCCCCCCUGGUGACUUUCUACGUGGGUCUGGUGCCGUCCCUGGCUCCUGAAAUCUGUGUGGGGCCUUGUAGGGUGUAAGCACCGACCUAUGAAAGACCGGGUGCAUUCUGGAACCUUCUGGGAGGGUCAACCGAAAGCUACGGGAUUGAUCCUGCCCUCAACUUGGUAUGGCCCUAGCUGUUUGUUUCCUAGCUUCUUCUUAGCUAACGACUUGGCCGGCACCGCCUGGGCUGCUAACCAUACCCAGUCCCCCACCUGGAUGUCUUCUCCUGCCCUCCUGUGCCUGUCUGCCUGCACUUUGUAGGCGUGUUUAGCUAGUUCCAAGUGCCGUCGUAGCUCCUCGUGGACCUCCUGCAAUUCUGCUGCUAAAUGCUCAGCUCCCUGCGGCUCCUCCUGCGUCGUUGUCUCCAACGCCGGGAAGGUUCUGGGAUGUCGCCCAUUGUUGGCGAAGAACGGUGUCACCCCCGUUGACGUGUGCUUCGUGUUGUUGUAGGCAAACUCGGCCAUCGGUAAGUAGUCCACCCAAGUUGCAGGCUUUUGAUUGGCGUAACAUCGCAGGUACUGCUGCAUGAUGGCGUUGACCCUCUCCGCUUGGCCGUUGGUUUGCGGGUGUCUCGCCGACGCUAAGUUGAUCUUGACAUUCAGGAUGCCCAGGAGCUUCUGCCAGAAACUGGAAAUGAAUUGGCGACCCCGGUCGGACAGGAUGGACCGUGGUAAGCCGUGCACCCGGAACACGUGGUCUAUGAACAGCUUGGCGGUCUGUUCCGCUGUUGCCACCUUCGCGCAAGGAAUGAAGUGCGCCAUCUUGGUGAACAGGUCUACAACCACAAGCACCACCGUCUUGCCCCGCGAACUGGGCAGAUCAGUAACAAAGUCCAGCGCCACCCUAUCCCACGGCUGUAGUGGCGUCUCCAGCGGUUCCAGCAAUCCCGCUGGCUUCUUGUGCACUGGCUUGGACCUCUGACAAGUGUCACACCUGGCGACGUAAUCCGCGACCUCUCCCCGCAUCUGGGGCCACCAAAAGUCCCUGGCUACUAAGUCCGCCGUCUUUUCUUUGCCGAAGUGACCCGCGCUGGGUGCGUCGUGUAACUGCUGUAGAACCUUCGCACGGAGAUCGUCUCCCGGCACGUAGAGAGCACCUCUGCGGGUCAGCAGGCCGUCGCGUAUCUGGAAUUCGCCGUCCUUUGCUGUCCCUCUUCGCACCUCCUCCAUCUUGGAUUGUGCGAACGGAUCCGUCUGUAGCGCGCGUCGUACCGCGUCCAGGUCCACGGCGGCGGAAGCGCACGCCCACGCUUGCGGUGCGAAAAUGUGCCUGGCUGCCACUGGUGCCGCUUCCUCGAGAUACUGCGGUUUCCUGGAGAGCGCAUCCGCUAUGACGUUGUUGUCUCCCGGGAUAUACUCUAUCCUGAAAUCGAAAUCCGCAAAGAACUCCGCCCAUCUUAUGUGCCUCUGGCUCUGGAGCUUCGCCGUGCGCCAAUACUCUAGGUUCUUGUGGUCCGUGCGGACCUGCACGGUGUGCUUGGCUCCGAUGAGGAAGUGCCGCCACGCCUUGAAAGCCGCGUGGAUGGCCAACAACUCCCUGUCCCAGAUGGUGUAGUUCUGUUCCGACUUGCUGAGCUUCCGGGAAUAGAAAGCGCAGGGCCUCCAGUUCCCUUGCGGAUCUUCCUGCAAGAGGACGGCCCCCACUGCUCUGUCAGAUGCGUCAGUCUCAACCCGCAUGGGCCUGCCGGGAUUCACGUGUAGCAGCUGUUCUUCGGACGCGAAGAGGCUCUUAAGUCUCCUGAAGGACUGCUCCGCCUGGUCCGUCCAGGUGAACUUUUUCUUCUUGGAACUGAGGGUGUCCGUGAUAGCUGCCGUCUCUUUCGCGAAACCCCUGAUGAACUUGCGGUAAAAGUUGGCGAAGCCGACGAACCUCUGGACCUCCUUCCGAUUGCGCGGGCUAUUCCAGUCCAACACCGCGCGGACUUUGGCGCUGUCCAUGGCUAGUCCCUUGUCGGACAGCCCGUAGCCCAGGAAAUCCACCUCCGUCACGUCGAACUGGCACUUCUCCAGUUUGGCGUAGAGUCUGUGCUCCCGUAGCCUCUGCAGGACCUCCUUUACGUCUCUCUCGUGAGUCUCCUGCGAUGCUGAGAAGAUCAGAAUGUCGUCGAGGAAGCAUACGCACUUCUUGUAGAGGAGUCCCGCUAGCACGUGGUGCAUGAAUGCUUGGAAACAGUGGGAGCCAUUUUGGAGACCAAACGGCAUAACUCUGUAUUCAUAGGUGCCCAGCGGCGUGAACAUGGCCGUCUUCCACUCGUCACCUUCCCUCAUGCGUAUUAGAUUGUAUGCUCCGCGUAGAUCCAACUUGGUGAAGAUCCUCCCCUUCCUCACCGUCGCGAGCAGGUCGUCAAUCUUGGGCAUGGGGAAGGCCUUGGGCUUUGUCAUCGAGUUUAUGGCCCUAUAGUCCACAAUGAGCCUCUUUUGGGGCGUGUCCUUCUUCUUCACGAAAAACACAGGACUGCCCCCCACUGCCUUGGAUUCUCGGAUGAAUCCCCGCUUCAAAUUGUGAUCUAUGAACUCCCUGAGUUCCUGCAUCUCAUCUUCAGACAUGGAAUACAGCUUCGCAGUCGGCAGCGUCGCCCCUGGUAGGAGGUCAAUUGCACAGUCGUAGGGCCUGUGUGGUGGUAAUUGGUCAGCUUCCUUUUCGCAGAAGACCUCCAAAAACCCCUUGUACUUGUGGGGCACCGCCUGCACCAUGCUGAGAUGCAACUGUUGCCCCUCCUCCUGGCCCUCCUCCUCUUGGCCGGUCUGGAUGCAAUGUUGUGCGCAGUAGGACGAGCCAAAGGUGAGCUGCCGCUGGUACCACGCUAAUGAUGGGCUGUGUCUAUCCAGCCAACUCAUGCCUAACACUAUAGGCGUGUCUGACAGGCGGGUGACGUUGAAACUGAUGACCUCGCGAUGAUUCCCGAUCUGCAGCACCAUGGGUGGCGACUGCUGUACCACUUGCCCGCCCAGCAACUUCCUGCCAUCUACGGUGACGACGUUCAGAGGCAGCGUGGCUGGUAGAAGCGCUAUGCGAUGCUGCUUGAUGAACUGCAUCCCCACGAAGUCUGCGUUGCUCCCUGAGUCAAUUGUAAUGGGGACUUCCAGGGUGAGUCCAUUAGGUAGCUGGAGAGUAGCAGUGAGCUGUACCACUGGCUUGGGUGGUAAGGGGUCUGUAGGCUGCAAAAGCGCUGGGGACUGCUUCAGUGACUUGCCUGGCUGAGCCCCAGCAUGUUUGCUUCCAGCCAGGCAUUGUCGUUUCCCUGAAACUGCUCUCCUGUAGCGCUGCUUCUGUUACUGUUGCUAAGGCUGCAGUGUGCUUCUGGAGCCUCUGGGGACACUCUUUAGCCAUGUGCUGUGCACUGUCACAGAUGUAACACUUCCUGGUCCCUCUAGGAGGCUUCGCCUUGACUGCUCCGGACGCUGAGGCUCCGGCAGCUGUCUGAGCCUUUGCACCACCAAGCUCCAUUGGUUCUUCCCCCUCCCUCAGCAGAGGCGAGGGAUGCGUACGUCCCAGGUCCCUGGGAAGAAAAGGAGGCGCUCUAGCUGGUGUGCGGACGUGGCGCCCCUCCUCACUGUGCCAAGGGCGUUAUUCGUGGCGCACCCCGAUCGUGAGUGCCCUCUGCACGACGUCUGCUAGGGUUUGAGGUCUGUCCCCCCUGGCCAACUCAUCUUUUACGGAGCCAUGAAGCUCCUCCCAGAACAAGUCUCUCACUGCCAGUGAGUCCUUUUCCCAGCCCAGCACAUUCAGCAAUGCAAAAAAGCGAGAAUGGUACUGACGCACUGUAGCCUUGCCCUGCCGCAAUCCAUGCAUCUCCCGGCGCGCCACAUCAACGUCAACGGUAGAUUGGAAGCAAGCGUCCAUGGCUUUGAUAAAUUCGUCAGAGUCCCUGCGGGCAGGACCAUCUUCGCGCCACAAAUUGCGUAACCAGGCUCUAGCUUCCCCAUGCAAAUGGGACACAAUAAAGCCUACUUUCUCCUCCUCAUCUUUGAAGUCUUUCCGAAGCAAAUGCAGCGCGUAUACGACGUCUGCUCUGAAACUGGGAUAAUGCUUCAGGUUCCCAUCGAAGUGGGCUACUAAAUUGCCCCCCCUCCGUCCGAGUCCGAUUCCCUCUGAUCUGGACCCCGGGAACCCCUCUUUGCACGCAUGAUCCCACCUGGCUUGCAGAUCCUGGCAUCGCGCUUCUGCUUCGGCAACUGUCUUCUGAGAGACCACUACCGCAGCGGAGAGUUCGGCGACUGCGUUUUGCAGGGACGUUAUCCGCUCCUCAGUAGUCAUGUUUGCCAAACUUCGUGAGCUUUGC
rnacentral:lncRNA from 1 species